rnacentral:tRNA from 1 species
GCGGGGGUGCCCGAGCCAGGAAAGGGGGUUUCCCCCUCCUAUGGCGAAGGCCUGCGUGGGUUCGAAUCCCACCCCCCGCACCA